UACAGAGGUGGCAAGCGUUGUUCGGAAUUACUGGGCGUAAAGGGCGCGUAGGCGGUUCGUUAAGUCCUGUGUGAAAUCCCCCGGCUCAACUGGGGAACUGCACAGGAAACUAGCGGGCUUGAGUUCGGGAGAGGGAAGCGGAAUUCCGGGUGUAGCGGUGAAAUGCGUAGAUAUCCGGAGGAACACCGGUGGCGAAGGCGGCAUCCUGGACCAUUACUGACGCUGAGGCGCGAAAGCUAGGGGAGCAAACGGG
rnacentral:rRNA from 1 species